UACAGAGGUCCCAAGCGUUGUUCGGAUUCACUGGGCGUAAAGGGUGCGUAGGUGGUCAGGUAAGUCGGAUGUGAAAUCUCCGAGCUCAACUCGGAAACUGCAUUGGAAACUACCUGGCUCGAGGGUUGGAGGGGGGACUGGAAUGCUUGGUGUAGCAGUGAAAUGCGUAGAUAUCAAGCGGAACACCAGUGGCGAAGGCGAGUCCCUGGACAGUUCCUGACACUGAGACACGAAGGCCAGGGGAGCAAACGGG
rnacentral:rRNA from 1 species